rnacentral:rRNA from 1 species
UACGUAGGGUGCAAGCGUUGUCCGGAAUUAUUGGGCGUAAAGAGCUCGUAGGCGGUUUGUCGCGUCUGCUGUGAAAACCUAAGGCUCAACCUUGGGCUUGCAGUGGGUACGGGCAGACUAGGGUGCGGUAGGGGUGACUGGAAUUCCUGGUGUAGCGGUGGAAUGCGCAGAUAUCAGGAGGAACACCGAUGGCGAAGGCAGGUCACUGGGCCGCAACUGACGCUGAGGAGCGAAAGCAUGGGGAGCGAACAGG